rnacentral:rRNA from 1 species
AACGGGUGAGUAACACGUGAGUAAUCCACCCUCGGUACCGGGAUAGCCCGGGGAAACCCGGAUUAAUACCGGAUGGCCCGACAGCCUCUCGAGGCGGUCGGAAACAGGUAGCUUCGGCCUCCGACCGAGGACGAGCUCUGCGGCGGAUUAGCUUGUUGGCGGGGUAACGGCCACCAAGGCGACGAUCCGUAGCUGGUCUGAUGAGGACGAUCAGCCACACUGGGACUGAGACACGGCCCAGACUCAUACGGGAGGCAGCAGUGGGGAAUCUUGCGCAAUGGGCGGAAAGCCUGACGCAGCGACGCCCGCUGUGCUGCCAGAAGGCCUUCGGGUUGUAAACCGCUUUCAGGAGGGACGCAAGGCCACUCGGGUUAAUAGCCCAGGAAGGGUGACGGUACCUCCAGAAAGGAUGCCCCGGCUAAUUACGUGCCAGCCGCCGGGG